CACGUAGGGUGCGAGCGUUGUCCGGAAUUAUUGGGCGUAAAGGGCUCGUAGGCGGUUUGUCGCGUCUGCCGUGAAAGUCCGGGGCUCAACUCCGGAUCUGCGGUGGGUACGGGCAGACUAGAGUGAUGUAGGGGAGACUGGAAUUCCUGGUGUAGCGGUGAAAUGCGUAGAUAUCGGGAGGAACACCAGUGGCGAAGGCGACUUCCUGGCCUGUUCUUGACGCUGAGGCGCGAAAGCUAGGGGAGCAAACGGG
rnacentral:rRNA from 1 species